GCACGUUUGCUGUCGCAUUUUAUUUGUAGUGUGAACAAGCAGACAAAAAAAAUUGGAUUUGAUCAAAAAAUCAGAAUUGAGCAUCAAGACCUGCGGUGUGAACGCAGCCUAAGAUAGCGGAGGGCAUUAUAUAGCAGUGGUUUUGUUUGCUCUCAAUUUUGACAGCCUAUUAAAGAUUAAUAUCAGUCUGUACAUGCUCCAGAUAGCUUUUCUUCAAAUUCUUUAACUUUCACUCGCUUUUGCAACUUUGUACUUUUGUGUUACUUGCAGCAACAACUGUACCUCAUUGUUAUUCCAUUUAAAAAACUUGGUGCUUUUCCUCAACAUUUUGCUGCGACGUUUCAAAGAGCCGGAAAGUAAAUAAGCGGCAGACAGAAAUGAGUCAGGUCAAAUCAUCUUGGGUUUCACAUAUGAGCAGUACUGGAACGUAAGCGUUUUCGGCUGUUUCAAUGUGGAUGCACAACUCUGUGAAAACGACUGAAAACGCUACUGUGGACGCGGAGCGUUUUCACACACGAAAACGCCUUUCAAAUCUAUCCGGGCUACUAUUAAAAACCAAAACAAACAAACAAACAAACAAAUAAAAAAAAACAUUAAAAGUCACAAAAACCUACAAGGGCACUUAACACCACACACAGUCAAACAAAAUACACAAAAAAGUAUUAAACAGAAAAAAAAGUAUACAAUCCUAGUAAUUUGCACCCCCACAGGUGAACUGCUGCCUGAGCCAAAUGUAGUUGUUGUGAUAUUUGAUCCCAGCGCACUCCAAAAAGGAAUGUAGAAUAGUUCUGUGGCGACUGAAACAAGUCAAACAUCGCUGUAAACAACCAUCAAAACGCACGGGAAGGGGAUCACGAAAGCCCGACUACUUGGGCACAACAAUUAUAAACCGUCUCACAAAAUAAAACUGUAGACAGGACAAGAUAGCAGUUCCUUAAAGGAUGGGCCCAAAACAGCGGCUGCUGCAGGCGUUUCCCUCAUCCUGACACAUAUCUUUAUAUUUUGCUGGGCAAAUUUGGUUACCAGGAACAGUAAUUUCUUGACAAAUGUGCAAUCAUACAGGUGUGGUGAAAAGUUUAGAUUCACUCCUUAUGGGUAUGAGUGUUAUGGGAAUUUGGGUUUUUAAUGAUUUAGCUGAACUGUUUUUUGUUUUUUUUUACCUGAAUGGUAUGAUUGUACAGUAUUGUAUCUUUAAUGACUUUAAAAAGUAAGAAUUGGGUGCACACGUUUUUAAUUUACUGAGGAGAACAAACGGCUAUAUGGCAGCUGUGUCACUGACAACUGACAAUCUAAAUGUUCUUGCUUAACAAUGACUGUAAAAAAAUCAACAUUGAUCAGAAACUUUUAUUCCUCAUUUAUGCAAACAGAUUGAAAAUUGGAAUUAUUUCAAAUAUACAGUUAUGUUGUUUAAAACUGUUCACUAUAAAUGAGUUUUUAGCUUCAGCCUAAACUGAAAAUGUAUACACAAUCUGAAGACAAAUAAAACAAAGCUCAAAAUCAAGAUCUUUUUUUUAAUUUUUUGUUUUUUAUUAUUUGUUGGUAAUAAUUUCAUGUGGUCUUUAGUGAACAGUUCCACAAGUUCUUGUUACUCUUCUGGGCUUUUAAAUAAAGUGAGUAAUCUUCUUUGUAACGCCAGGUAAACUUUAGCGUACACAUGAAAACAUCCUAGAGAAGAUAUUUGGUCUCUUAAAUGGUGCAUUUCUUAUGAAACUUUUGACAAUCUCUUUGUCAACAUUUCGGUGGCCAAUUUUCAUUAACUGCAUGACAGUGUUUGG
ensembl:lncRNA